rnacentral:rRNA from 1 species
CCUACGGGAGGCAGCAGUAGGGAAUAUUGCUCAAUGGGGGAAACCCUGAAGCAGCAACGCCGCGUGGAGGAUGAAGGUUUUCGGAUUGUAAACUCCUUUUGUUAGAGAAGAUAAUGACGGUAUCUAACGAAUAAGCACCGGCUAAACCCGUGCAAGCAGCCGCGGUAAUACGGAGGGUGCAAGCGUUACUCGGAAUCAGUGGGCGUAAAGAGCGCGUAGGAGGGAAAGCAAGUCAUAUGUGAAAUCCUAUGGCUUAACAUUAGAAUGCAUUUUGAAACUGUUAUUCUAGGUUAUGGGAGAGUUAGGUGGAAUUCUUGGUGUAGGGUUAAAAAC